AACCACUUCGGUGGUCAUCUGUAAAAAUUGGAACGAUACAGAGAAGAUUAGCAUGGCCCGUGCGCAAGGAUGACACGCAUAAAUCGAGAAGUAUCGCACUUUUUG
rnacentral:snRNA from 3 species